UGCUGGCCUCUCUGGGCUUAGCAAUGGGCUGACAACAGGGGGCCUAAGUCGUGGC
ensembl:miRNA